UUUAUAGUUGCCCCUGCUUCCUGUUCUCUCCCUGCUUUCUGUUAGUACAAUGUGACCAGCUGGACUCGACGUUCCUGUCACCGUGCCUUCCCAGCAAGGAUGAACUGUGUCCCCCUGGAACCGUGAACCAAAAUACUAAACCCUUAACUAACACACCCUGACUUUAGGACCCCCAGAUGGAUGACGGACAGAGGAUGGCAACUCAGGGCUGGACCACAGGGACAGAGCCAAGGAUACUUCUCAGCCCUCCUGGGCCUGCUCGGCUUGACGCAGAUUCGGAUCCCUUCUUGGGGUCUUUGCCUGCAGCUGUGUGGCACAGAUGAACACCGCAGCAGCAGUCAGGCGCCAGCCAGUGUUGGCCAGUGUGCCACAGGAGGAGCUCAGCGCCGCCCACCAGGGAGGGACAUCUGCACUGAUCCUCUGCACGUGGCACUCUGUGCACAUGUGGCUGGCAAUCACGGACACGGCCUGCCGGGGCAUCGGGCGCACAAGCCCACCAGCAGCAGGCUGUUGGUCGUCCCCAGCUGCUCCCCUGAUGCUACAUGGAGCUAGCAUCCAAGAGGGGACAAAGGAGCCUUGUCUUCAGCCUGACGCAGGUUGUCCUGGGAGCCAGCCAGCGAGCAGCCAGCAGCAUGGAGCCUCUUCUGCAGAUCCAAGGAAAGCACUGCCCAGGUAUACUGGGCUUUUAAGAGCUUGCACCGCCCCCUGCUGGACAAAAGAAUCCCUGCAGCUGCCCUAUUCCUUGCAGGAAGCAAACGAGCGCCUUGCUGGACCACCAACAAAUACCCUGCAAGCAAGGCGUGUGGAUGCAUAGGCUUUGCCUGUCUGUAGAACACACGAUGUCCACACUGAGCGUGCAGGUCCUGGAGGAUGCCCCCUACCCACUGACACACAUCACAGAGGCAGAGUUACCCUCUCCAGGCAGAACACCAACA